UCGCGUGGCUCUUUAGUAAUAUUGUUAAAUUUGAGUUGUUACCAAUCUUGCUGCUCUUUAUCUGGUUCCUGGUGAGUUCGUGGAAGUUCAGGUCACGUAAAGAUACUCGAUGAAGUUUCUCUGCGAAGUUUUCUUUAAAACUCUAGCAGCUGGCAUCACAAAGUAAGCAUGUGAAUUGAGAGCAAAUGUACAUGAUACAGAAUAGUUCAUUUUUGCCUGCCCUCUUUGUUUUAUUUCUGGAUCUGCAAUGAACAGAUCCACAGCUUCUUGCUCACAGGCAAGUAGGCGGUGGCUGUCUCAGCGAUGCUAAUAUCUCUGUUCUAGUGAAAGACAAUGUAAGCAACUGUUUUUGCAAGCAUUACGCAAAUGCGGCUCGCCAUCAAGCACCAAACUUUUAAUGUCUAAAAAAAUAACUUGGAGAAGUAAAUGCCCAGUAUUCUUUUUUAGCUUUCAGUAAGCUUGCCAUGUAGCUCAGUGUUAACAUACAGGUUAGAUUACAGAAAGCAAUAAUAAAAGACAAUAAACACUGCUUGGAUGGCAAAAAACAUGUGAAUCAGAUCACUUUUUUUUUGGCAAUGACUUUUUGGGAAAUAGGAGGCUAAGCAAAUGGUGAUGUGGCUACACUGUAAAGACUGGAUAAGAUGGAUGACUGAAUCUGCAACAGAACAUUUGUGGACAUUGUACUACAUGCAAUGAGGCAGCAUAGGUUACUUUUCUAUGCUUUUUUGCUGACUAAGCAAGACUACAUGCAGUGAGGCAGCAUAGGUUACUUUCCUGGUGCAUCAGCAUGGGCUUUCUACAGUUGACUUCCAUUAAUUCUACCCUGAGGGCACCAACGAAAUUGAUCUACUUAUCCGGUGGGUCGAAUUGAACGUGCAAAAAAAUGCUAAAACACCGCUGAUUCAUAUGGCAGUAUGUAUUGACUUUAAGAAGCCUCCGAAACAAACGUGCGCCAACUUUCUAUUUUUCCGAACUAUAAAACUGAAGUGCAAAUGACUUAAAACUUCAAACCCAAGUAGAAACCUAACGCAUACCUUAUUUUUGAGAAUGUCAGCUGAUUUUCUAGUCACCCUUGCUGCAACACAGCCAUGUUAUGCGGUAAAGCGCACAAAUGCUGCAAAUGCGGUUUUAGUUUCGCACUCGAGUGCACAGUGCAGGCAGUUUCCGGCUCAAUUUCCUUCGAAAACAAAAUGUUCCGUUUAGAACCAGGUCAAUACCAUAAUCGGACAUUGUGAGCUACCGUUAUGGCUUGAAAAUUUUCCUAGGGUGGGUCAAAAAUAGGCGUUUAUAGAUGUUUGUUUAAUGCAUUCACUGUCCCCCAAGCUCUGCUGAGACAGACGUUGCCACUAAAAUGGGUCGUUAUUGGGGUCAGGUGCAUGCCUGUAGCUUGGUCAAGUUCGUAUUAUCAGGCGAAUGCCAAUUUUAGGAUCAAAAUAACAAAUGUUUAGGGCCGUAGAACUGCAUAGGAGCUGGCCAAGAUCUUUGGUCAGAGUCGAAGUAACUGAAAGAUUAACCGUAGUUAAAUUAACGGAAGUCUACUGUAUCCACUUUUCUGUUCAACAAGGAGUUGCCAUUUUAAUAUGUAGUUUUCUUCUGUCAGUGUGGUAAUCGUGCUAAAUUUAGCAUUUGUUUAAAUUAAAAGGACAAGUUACAAAGCAGGGGCACGCUUUGAGACUUGAAACAUUUGAACAUAUAAAGGUAGGACACAUUAACAGCUGCUGAAUUAACCUAAGUUGGUUGUAUUAUGUGCAUAGCAUGUGGUUGCUUUUUGGGAAUGUGGUCAUUCUGUAAAAUAAAACUGCAUUUGUUUCAAAUAAAUUGCUG